UUAACACUUUAGUGCAAAUUGUGAAGCAGAGUUGUUUCCCAUGUAACAAGUCGAAGGGCAGAACAAAUAUGAGUGCAAUAUACAGGGGAAUUAUAUCAGUAGCAGACAAAUUUGUCCCAGCUAAACUUGCCCCUUUUUGGAAUCACCCAGCUGGUCCCAAGACCAUAUUUUUCUGGGCUCCAUCUUUUAAAUGGGGUUUAGUUAUUGCCGGUAUUGCAGACAUUGCCCGCCCUGCUGAGAAACUUAGUCCACCACAGUCAACAGCCUUAGCAGCAACAGGUUUUAUAUGGGCAAGAUGGUCAUUGAUAAUACUUCCACGAAUAUGGCCAUACUUUGUGUGUAACAUAUUUGUUGGGUGUACAGGACUGUUUCAGAUGGGCAGAAUUUUCAAGUAUCGUUUGGGCCCGAUACUCGACAGUUAUUAUACCUAAGAACUGGAAUCUCUUCACAGUAAAUAUAUUUGUAGGGGCGACAGGCCUCUAUCAAUUAUCUAGAAUUAUCAACCAUAGAAGAUCAUUAGCAGCACAAGCAGCAAAAGUAGAAAAAUGAUGAACUGAAGAUGUGAUAUCUAGUGUGAUUUAGUGACAGUGUAUGUGUGAUAGAGAGAAUGAUCAUUUUAACUGGAUUAUUUCCUUAAGCAAAGUGCGACAAGUUAUCUCCCUUGUCAAUGUCGCCAUGUAUUUCCUUCCUUUUGUUCAGAACAAUGAGAGAAGAGAUGAGCCUGACUGAGUUAUUUCCCUUAGUAAAAUUUAAAUGAAUUAUCUCCCUUGUCAAAUCUCUGAAAUUUAUCAUUUUGGUCUUCAAUUCAAAUCAUCUGUUUUCUUUUAAAAGUUCCCUGAUUGAUGUAACCUCUCACUCUUUUACAAAUCAUUAUUUUCAAACUGACAAAACUUGUUUCAAUUUCUACAUUUAAGAGUAAAGCUGUACUUUGAAUAACUAUUUUAAGUUUAUAUGAAGGCUUUUUUUAGAUGUGACUGUUUGUUUUUGUUUGUGUGCAUGGUUUUUAUGUUUCAAGACUGGAAUAAUAUUUCCAAUACACCAGAUAUUGCUGUUUACAAAUGUCAUAAAGUCUUUUUUAAUUUUAUUUGGUUUUAUUGUUUCAUCAGUUAAUUGUACCAGAUACUGUUGUGUUAUACUGUGAAAGGUGACACCAUUCUCUCUUAAUAUGAAAUUCUGUCAUAAUAAAAAUUGAAUGAUAAGUGUAAUUAUUGUAUUUCCUGUUGACAGCAAUAUACGGUGUAUAAUUAAGAUAAUUUAAGACUAAGAGCUCAGAGUUUCAAAUCAGCAAAACUGUUAUAUGUUAUGUUUUAUAUUAAUCAGUUUUUUUAUAUUGUAUUGUUAAAUACUGAAUAAAAAAGACAGUUUCCUAUUCUCUGUUGAUAACUUA